rnacentral:rRNA from 1 species
GGCAGUGUGGGCCGCCAACCAUGCAAGUCGAACGGUGACGGUGGAACUUGCUCCACUCGAACAGUGGCGGACGCUUUAAUACACGUGAGCAACCUGCCUUUCAGAGGGGGACACCUUUUGGAAACGACUGCUAAUACCGCAUAAAAUAAUGGAAUCGCAUGAUUCUGUUAUCAAAGGAGAAAUCCGCUGAAAGAUGGGCUCGCGUCUGAUUAGAUAGUUGGUGAGGUAACGGCCCACCAAGUCGACGAUCAGUAGCCGGACUGAGAGGUUGAACGGCCACAUUGGGACUGAGACACGGCCCAGACUCCUACGGGAGGCAGCAGUGGGGGAUAUUGGACAAUGGGGGAAACCCUGAUCCAGCGAUGCCGCGUGAGGGAAGAAGGUUUUCGGAUUGUAAACCUCUGUGGACAGGGACGAUAAUGACGGUACCUGUCAAGAAAGCCACGGCUAACUACGUGCCAGCAGCCGCGGUAAUACGUAGGUGGCGAGCGUUGUCCGGAAUUACUGGGUGUAAAGGGAGUGUAGGCGGGAAGGCAAGUCAGAAGUGAAAAUUAUGGGCUCAACCCAUAACCUGCUUUUGAAACUGUUUUUCUUGAGUGAAGCAGAGGCAAGCGGAAUUCCUAGUGUAGCGGUGAAAUGCGUAGAUAUUAGGAGGAACACCAGUGGCGAAGGCGGCUUGCUGGGCUUUUACUGACGCUGAGGCUCGAAAGCGUGGGGAGCAAACAGGAUUAAAUACCCUGGUAAUCCACGCCGUAAACGAUGAUUACUAGGUGCGGGGGGAUGAACCCUUCCGUGCCGGA